GACGAACCGUGCGAACGUUAUUCGGAAUCACUGGGCUUAAAGCGCGUGUAGGCGGAUGGGAACGUCGGUAGUUGAAAGCCCCCGGCUCAACCGGGGAAGUGGUGCCGAAACGACCCGUCUGGAGGGACGUAGGGGGACCUGGAACUUCCGGUGGAGCGGUGAAAUGCGUUGAUAUCGGAAGGAACGCCGGUGGCGAAAGCGACACACUGGGUCUCAACUGACGCUGAGGCACGAAAGCCAGGGGAGCGAACGGG
rnacentral:rRNA from 1 species